rnacentral:rRNA from 1 species
UGAGGAAUAUUGGUCAAUGGGCGAGAGCCUGAACCAGCCAAGUAGCGUGAAGGAUGACCGCCCUAUGGGUUGUAAACUUCUUUUAUAUGGGAAUAAAGGGUGCCACGUGUGGCAUUUUGUAUGUACCAUAUGAAUAAGGAUCGGCUAACUCCGUGCCAGCAGCCGCGGUAAUACGGAGGAUCCGAGCGUUAUCCGGAUUUAUUGGGUUUAAAGGGAGCGUAGGUGGACAUGUAAGUCAGUUGUGAAAGUUUGCGGCUCAACCGUAAAAUUGCAGUUGAAACUGCGUGUCUUGAGUACAGUAGAGGUGGGCGGAAUUCGUGGUGUAGCGGUGAAAUGCUUAGAUAUCACGAAGAACUCCGAUUGCGAAGGCAGCUCACUGGACUGCAACUGACACUGAUGCUCGAAAGUGUGGGUAUCAAACAGGAUUAGAUACCCUGGUAGUCCACACAGUAAACGAUGAAUACUCGCUGUUUGCGAUAUACAGUAAGCGGCCAAGCGAAAGCAUUAAGUAUUCCACCUGGGGAGUACGCCGGCAACGGUGAAACUCAAAGGAAUUGACGGGGGCCCGCACAAGCGGAGGAACAUGUGGUUUAAUUCGAUGAUACGCGAGGAACCUUACCCGGGCUUAAAUUGCAAAUGAAUAUGCCGGAAACGGCAUAGCCGCAAGGCAUUUGUGAAGGUGCUGCAUGGUUGUCGUCAGCUCGUGCCGUGAGGUGUCGGCUUAAGUGCCAUAACGAGCGCAACCCUUAUCUUCAGUUACUAACAGGUCAUGCUGAGGACUCUGGAGAGACUGCCGUCGUAAGAUGUGAGGAAGGUGGGGAUGACGUCAAAUCAGCACGGCCCUUACGUCCGGGGCUACACACGUGUUACAAUGGGGGGUACAGAAGGCCGCUACACAGCGAUGUGAUGCCAAUCCCUAAAGCCCCUCUCAGUUCGGAUCGAAGUCUGCAACCCGACUUCGUGAAGCUGGAUUCGCUAGUAAUCGCGCAUCAGCCACGGCGCGGUGAAUACGUUCCC